AGACUGUUGCCUUUCGUUCUCAUCGACCGAAGCCCCGCCCAUCGAGCUCUUCCAGGCACAGCGUCCUGAAGGACAUCCCACCACCCAGGGAACGAUUGAAGAGACACCCAGCGAGAUGGAGAAAUGGGCGCUGGAGAAGGAAGUCCUUGAGCUGAGGAAGGAACUUCUUCCACUCCAAAUCAGAUUCUUCAAGAACUGGGGUCGUGUCAACCCCAAGAAGAUUAGGGAUGCUAUGGAGAGUGGGGCAUUAGACGACAUCUGAGACGUACCAGGGAAGAUGUCUUUUCUUCUUCGUUUUUUUCACUGUGUGUCUGCAUGAGCAGUGUUUUAUUAACGCGUGCAUGGCGAUUAUUUCUUAGUACAUGUAUCUACACUUUUGGCCAUUAUCUAACCGUAUAAUGAGUAAGAAAAUUUACAAUCACGACAGAGGAAAUCAAAAGUUAUUAAGCCCUUCCAACAUUGAGAACUCGUGAAAACUAUUAACAUCUUUAGCACCGCAAUAAGAUUAAGAAUGUAAAAAAAAACCGAAAAUUUAUUAAUGAAAGUCACUAAGGACAUGGGAAUUACCGGUCGUAUUAGGGUACAUGUUUUCUGGAGUCCGACUUUGUAUCGUGGAUAGUGUUGCCAUGGGUGAUCUGGUAGGUCCACUUGCACCUGGCCAAACACUUCUCAUUAAAAUGAAGACAGAAGCCAGUACUGAGGGUCUCACAUGAAUCAAUUUAAUAUUCUUUUCUACAAAUCAAAACUUGAGAGGCUGUACAAAUAAGCCAUGGAUUAGGCUCCUCCCAAUUAAAGGUACAACUCCCCAACCAAAUCUUUCUCGUCAUAUUUCCAAAAUACAGAUUUCUAAUUCUAUUUCAAUCGUCCUAAUUUUUCCCUGAGCGGUCAGGACAUAAGGAGGCGGAUCCUGUCACUUUUCCUCUCUGCACGGCAUACAAACAAAAUUGAGUCACUUUAAAACACACACGCGAGUUGCACGCGAGUGUUAUAUGAAAUCCAACAGUGAAACAAAGCAAGAAACUAACCCCAAAUUACUGUGUAAGAUAAUAUCACAUGUCCGCAGAGACUUACCAACAGCAUCUGUAUAAUGUUCCUGUACUGUAUAAUAAUAGUGCCGUGUGAGAAAUUAUUCACCAACACUGUCCAAACUGUGACAAAAUGUCAGCAACGUCUCAGCAACAUGACGACUCAUAGCAAGAAGACAGUUUCUACAGUGAAACCGGGCUACGUACCUAGCAACAAAACUCGAAGUCCUCCAAAAUAGACUUAUAGUUCAGAAGCUAAUGACGUACGUACAUCAUGCCUUUUAAAACUAUACAGACUGGUCCACUUUUAGAGGUGAUCAAAAAUACUAAUAUAGAGUAUCUGUUGAAAUAUAUGUAGACUCUCAGACUAGUUAUGCAGUAGGGCAUGGAGGGAGCACGGAGGCACCCCCCCAACUCGACGCUUGUGCCCUCGCCCCCGUGUAACCCCCCCCCCCUUUCAGAAAUGAAGGAAGGAAAGACUGGUUAUUUGGUCAGUGUUAAUGUUAUAACUGUCCGUCAUGAAUCGAAGCACUUGGUGACUAGUGCCCAUCAUGUCGGUAAUUCUAACCUAUAACAACUUUUGCAAAAUGGUAAGUGUAAACGUUUGAUCGUAGUCACACAAUUCGUGUACAUCACUAAAUUACACUUGAAACAAUCAGUCGAAAUUUACAAAGUAUUUCUGUAUAAAAUUAUCAUCUUGACCGCAUUUUCCUAAUACUUUUGUAAUAUUUCAGAAAUUGGCUUUAACCAAUCAAAUAUUACCAUUCCUUUUGUGUGAUUUUAUUCAUUGCAACGAGCUCUUUACAUUUUGAUCCUUUCGGUCUUAGUCAGCUUUCUUCUUUCAGUCUAAAGUGCUGGAGAUAAUAUUUCUCAACAAUCAAGAGACCAUGACAAGUUAGGGAUAAAAUGAAACAGGGUUCGUCGAUGAGUUUGAAAAGUCAGUAGAAUAAGAGAAGUGUUGUGGCACGUGGCUUAGGCCUUAGAACUUCGGCUGAAAAUGCCCUAAUGCUAGUACAUUAUACAUAUACCAUUGGGUUUGGGCAGAAGUGAUAUUAGUUUUGUUCAUACAGAUUACAAAUCUCCAUGAUUAGACUUUAUAACUCUCGAUACGAAAAACAACAAAGUAAGAAGUAAUACAUUGCUGUGCCUACAGUUUAUAGCUAUAGGAGGUAAGGAUUUUAUGUGCAUACGGUAUCUUUGCAUAGUCGCUGAAGAACAAAAAACGUGAUGUUCAUGUAUUGAAAUGUGUCUCUAAAUAAUAAACAUGGCACUUUUCUGCGGCGCAUGCAGUGUACAUUGUUUCGUAAAAAAUUGACACGUGAACCCGUUUACAUCGCGCAUUUCGUGUAAAAAUAAAAGUUGUUGAUGUGUAGGGUGUCAUAAUUAUGACACAUGUGUGGGGUAAAUGAUUCUUCAAUCCACAUCUUAGCUAAUUGUGUUUAGGUUGUGUUUUGCCUGUACAUGAGCUGGAACUUGUGUCAGUACUGCAGUAUACUGGGUAUUGUUUUACCCUUUGCAUACCAAAUAUGAAGCAUGCCAGAGGCAAAAAAUAAAUACAAAAGAAAAACUAAA
rnacentral:lncRNA from 1 species